AUCUGAUGCUUGCUCAUGAUUUAAUGUUUGUUUAAGUUUUGGGGGGAUAAGAGAAGUACCUUAAAAAAUGAAGGGAAUGUCUAGAAAACGUUUAUUUAAUUUUAAAAAAUACUUUAAAAAAAAAAAACCAAAAUAAUAUGAUUUGCAUGACUGAAAUCGUGAGUUUAAUAUUUUAUACAUAGAAUUGUGGGCAUGAAAACGCUAUGCAUGACAGGUUGGUGUUUAAAAUAUCCGCUAGAUGGAGCCAUUUACUUUACCAGUUAUCUUUAAAGUGCCCCUAUUAUGCCAUUUUUAAGGAUGCUAAUAUUGUAUAUUGAGUCUCAUAAAACAGAUUUACAUGCAUGCAAGGUCAAAAAACACGUUAGUUUUCUCAAAAAAAAAAAAAAGAAUUUAAUUUUACCUAAAUCUAAAUUAUUCGAAACGACUCGUGCGAAGCAGUCCUGUCUCUCUAAACCCCUCCUUUUCGUGAGCCCUCACUGCUGUGAUUGGUCAGAUGGCGCCGUCAGCGCGUGCUUUUUCUUUAUUUUUUCUUAAUCAAACUCAACAUUUUACAGUAGCCAGGGGGGAAACAAACAAAAAGAGAUACAAAAUUACAAUAAAAUAGAGAGAAAAGGGAAAAAAUAUUUUUUUACAUAAAAGCAUGGAAAUGUUUGCAUACAUUAAUACACUUAACAGCUUUCUUGUUUAUCAAAUUGUAAAUAGAUUUUAGGUAUUGUUUUUAACUUCUGAUUUCAAAAUGAGAAACAAUGGUUUAUAAUUGCUGUACUUGCAUUUAUGUAUACUAAACUUUGCCAGCAAAAAUAAUAAAUGAAUCAAAUAAUAUUCCUAAAAAAUGUACAUCGAUAUCACAGUUAAUAUCAACCCAUCAACACAGCUAUUCCAGAAAGUUACAACAGGAGGUCUAGAAACAACAUACCUUUGAAAAGGGGCUCGAACUUGUCGAUUAUUGUGUUUAACAGAGGAAGAAGAAAAUCAAACUCGACCAACAGCAGUGUCAACAGGAUCAAGACUGCAGAAAAGAGCGCAGCGCCUGUCAGAAACGAAACGCCCAUUGCAAUGACGGAAUGACAGCCCUGGAGACUUGUCCAUACUAUAGACUGUGAAAAAUACACAUAGAAAAGAUGGUAUCGAUGGUAACUUUCCAACUCGAGCCGGAGUCUGAUGAUGAAACGGUUGAUCUGGCUGAUCGACAAGAGACUGGUUCAAGCACGACUGGAGCAGGACGUUUCUCAGAGGUGUUAACAUGUUUGUGGUAAUUAGAUGUGAUGAAACAAAUUUACUCUCACAGCGUAGGAUAUACACGGGUUUUUAUUUUUAUUUUUAUAGACAAUAACUUUAUUUAUCGUGCACUAUCGGCUUCACAACUUUGCAUAGCCUAUAGUUUAUGUUCACAUACAGCUAGCUACAUGACACACUGCAUGAAAGGUUAUAUUCGAAAAGGGCACUUUAACUCUAAUUGUACCAACUACGAAUACCAUUAAAGAGACUUUGAUGAAUCUGUCACGCACCCUCUUCGAAUAAAAAGCGUUUUAAUUUGCU
rnacentral:lncRNA from 1 species